GUGUGUUAAAAACGUUUUGUUUACAUCGAUAAUCAAAACAAGAAUGAAAUAUUUACAUGUGACCGGAGUUGACUGGCCGACUUUAAUGAUUGACGACUACGACUGGUUUUUCCUCGGAGAGACCGCGAAUUUAAAAACCUUUUUUCGAAUGUUCGAUAACUGUCUCGAAUAUUCGCGAGGGACAACUGCAAAAUAACAUUUAUCUGAAAAAAAAAAGUUUCGAAGCCUCAAAACUGAAAAAAAAAUUUAUUCCCGAAUGAAAGAUCUCGGAGGAUUUGCGAAUAAUGAAGAUGGGGAAAUGGUCCAGAAAUUCAAGGAGAUGAGGUCAAUUAUACCCACAGUCACUUACAGUUGCGGCGAACCCGAUAGCACAUCAUUGUCCCGAGCUUUCACGAUAAAUUCAUUGAAUGUACCAUCCAAUAAUCAGUGCACAUACCCAAUUACUUUCGGAUAAAUUAGAACCCAUGAGAAAAAAAGCUUUAUCAUCCCUCGAUGUAUCGGAGACAUAAUCCGGUGAAUACUAGCUCGACACGUUUCGGUAAUAAAAUAUGGGACGUAAGCCCAGGUAAAUGCGAACAGAGGCUUUGGCAAAUAUAUCAAACGGGGAUUGAGUGGCCAACCAUGAGAAUGUCUGAACUUCGUGUUAGGUCGCUUGCCCUUCACGAUGAAGAUCUCAGAAAAUACUGGAGUUUUCGCUUCACCGGGGAUAUGAUGGAUGAUGGCAUAAAAAGGCUGAGAGGGGCUCUGAUUGUUGGAGUAAGGGGAAGAUGGAGAAUAUUUUUUCGAUAUUGUGCAGUUCGACCGACCCAUGAAUUUAGAAAUUUUGAAUGUUGAAUAUAAUUGUUUCGUCAAUUUUUAACUAUUCUACUACUAACUAGUACAAUCUACUUCGCUAAAUUCACUGGGCCAUCAAACAAAUGUGAGAGGAACGAUGUUAUUGAUGAAUGGAGGCAUUCAAAACAACAUCAGGGGCGUACGACGUCAUGAGGGCUCCCUCUGGUCCGCAGGACUAAAAUCCAGUGGCGCCGUCUUGCGGUAGUUUUUCAAAGAUUGACACCACAUAUUGAAGUUUAAUUAAUCUACGAUUUUUAUGAUGCCUCAUCUGAGCUACACAAAACGAAAAAUUCCCGGAUUUCUCGCUCAUUAAAUCAUUAAUGACAUGUAGAGUAUAAUUUUCUCUUCCUCUAAGUGCAAUCGGCAAGUUUGUAGGCCAUUUCCGUUGAUGUCAUAAGACUAUCCUAAAUUCCUCUACUGUCUCCUAUCGGUGUUGGAAUUGGACCAAUUGUAUACUUGGAAAAUCUGUGCGUAGGUGAUACCAGAUACAUGUGAAUAGUUGGGGAUAUUAUAUCAACCGGAAGAACGACUCAGAUACCAGUGAACGUUAUCGAAGUUCCGUGGUCACUCGUCAUUUACUUCCCGCUACAAUUCUCCGGAAAUGGAGUGCAUUUUAUUCAAUGGACUGUGGGAUGAAGACAAGUUCAAUGUAAUACGCUAAAGUCUCCAUUGCUCCCAUUUUCUUUAUGACACAUUUCCCAAGAACAACUCCCAUUAUCCAUAAUUCAUAAUAACAUUGACAAACUUUAUAUAAC